rnacentral:rRNA from 1 species
AUUGAACGCUGGCGGCAGGCCUAACACAUGCAAGUCGAGCGGGGUUUUCGGACCUAGCGGCGGACGGGUGAGUAAUGCUUAGGAAUCUGCCAUUUAGUGGGGGACAACAUUCCGAAAGGAAUGCUAAUACCGCAUACGUCCUACGGGAGAAAGCAGGGGAUCUUCGGAACUUGCGCUAAAUGAGGAGGCUAAGUCGGAUUAGCUAGUUGGUGGGGUAAAGGCCUACCAAGGCGACGAUCUGUAGCGGGUCUGAGAGGAUGAUCCGCCACACUGGGACUGAGACACGGCCCAGACUCCUACGGGAGGCAGCAGUGGGGAAUAUUGGACAAUGGGCGGAAGCCUGAUCCAGCCAUGCCGCGUGUGUGAAGAAGGCCUUAUGGUUGUAAAGCACUUUAAGCGAGGAGGAGGCUACUUAGAUUAAUACUCUAGGAUAGUGGACGUUACUCGCAGAAUAAGCACCGGCUAACUCUGUGCCAGCCGCCGCCGUAAAAC